GAUGAACGCUAGCGGCAGGCCUAAUACAUGCAAGUCGAACGGUGUCUUCGGACGUAGUGGCGCACGGGUGCGUAACACGUAUGCAACCUACCUUACAUUGGGGGAUAGCCUUUCGAAAGGGAGAUUAAUACCGCAUAAGACAGUAGCUGGGCAUCCAGCAGCUGUUAAAGAUUUAUCGAUGUAAGCUGGGCAUGCGUCCAAUUAGCUAGUUGGUGAGGUAACGGCUCACCAAGGCAAUGAUUGGCAGGGGAACGGAGAGGUCAAUCCCCCACACUGGCACUGAGAUACGGGCCAGACUCCUACGGGAGGCAGCAGUAGGGAAUAUUGGGCAAUGGACGCAAGUCUGACCCAGCCAUGCCGCGUGCAGGAUGAAGGCGUUAUGCGUUGUAAACUGCUUUUAUACAGGAAGAAACGACUCUUGCGAGAGGCAUUGACGGUACUGUAUGAAUAAGCACCGGCUAACUCCGUGCCAGCCGCCGCUGUAACAC
rnacentral:rRNA from 1 species